rnacentral:rRNA from 1 species
GACAGAGGCCUCGAGCGUUUAGGCGGAAUCACUGGGCUUAAAGCGUGUGUAGGCGGAUCGUUAAGUACCUUGUGAAAUCCCACGGCUCAACCGUGGAACGGCUGGGUAUACUGGCGGUCUUGGGCCAUUCAGGGGCGACUGGAACAAGCGGUGGAGCGGUGAAAUGCGUAGAUAUCGCUUGGAACGCCGAAGGUGAAAACAGGUCGCUGGGGAUGUGCCGACGCUGAGACACGAAAGCUAGGGGAGCGAACGGG